AGUAUUUGCAAAGCACUGAUAAAAACAUCUCUCUUCUCUCAAUCUUGCUUCCUUCUUUUCAUUUACUAAAUAGGCUUUUGAGCCUCACAAGACUUUGAGAUUUUAUGGAUAUGAAACCUGCUAUCAUUUAGCAUCCUGCCUCUGGGAAUAGAAGCUGGACUGUACUGCUGCCAUCUCGGCUCACUGCAACCUCCCUGCCUGAUUCUCCUGCCUCAGCCUGCCCAGUGCCUGCGAUUGCAGGCGCGCGUCGCCACGCCUGACUGGUUUUCAUAUUUUUUGGGUGGAGACGGGGUUUCCCUGUGUUGGCCGGGCUGGUCUCCAGCUCCUAACCGCGAGUGAUCCGCCAGCCUCCGCCUCCCGAGGUGCCCGGAUUGCAGACGGAGUCUCCUUCACUCAGUGCUCAAUGGUGCCCAGGCUGGAGUGCAGUGGUGUGAUCUCGGCUCGCUACAACAUCCACCUCCCAGCAGCCUGCCUUGGCCUCCCAAAGUGCCGAGAUUGCAGCCUCUGCCCGGCCGCCACCCCGUCUGGGAAGU
rnacentral:lncRNA from 1 species